AUUGAACGCUGGCGGCAUGCCUUACACAUGCAAGUCGAACGGCAGCACGGGAGCUUGCUCCUGGUGGCGAGUGGCGAACGGGUGAGUAAUGCAUCGGAACGUGCCCUGAAGUGGGGGAUAACGUAGCGAAAGUUACGCUAAUACCGCAUAUUCUGUGAGCAGGAAAGCAGGGGAUCGCAAGACCUUGCGCUCUGGGAGCGGCCGAUGUCGGAUUAGCUAGUUGGUGGGGUAAAGGCCUACCAAGGCGACGAUCCGUAGCGGGUCUGAGAGGAUGAUCCGCCACACUGGGACUGAGACACGGCCCAGACUCCUACGGGAGGCAGCAGUGGGGAAUUUUGGACAAUGGGCGAAAGCCUGAUCCAGCCAUGCCGCGUGAGUGAAGAAGGCCUCGGUUGUAAAGCUCUUCGUGGGAGAAU
rnacentral:rRNA from 1 species